AGGGGGAUAACUACUGGAAACGGUAGCUAAUACCGCAUGAUGUCGCAAGACCAAAGUGGGGGACCUUCGGGCCUCACGCCAUCGGAUGUGCCCAGAUGGGAUUAGCUAGUAGGUGAGGUAAUGGCUCACCUAGGCGACGAUCCCUAGCUGGUCUGAGAGGAUGACCAGCCACACUGGAACUGAGACACGGUCCAGACUCCUACGGGAGGCAGCAGUGGGGAAUAUUGCACAAUGGGCGCAAGCCUGAUGCAGCCAUGCCGCGUGUGUGAAGAAGGCCUUAGGGUUGUAAAGCACUUUCAGCGAGGAGGAAGGGUAGUGUGUUAAUAGCACAUUGCAUUGACGUUACUCGCAGAAGAAGCACCGGCUAACUCCGUGCCAGCAGCCGCGGUAAUACGGAGGGUGCAAGCGUUAAUCGGAAUUACUGGGCGUAAAGCGCACGCAGGCGGUUUGUUAAGUCAGAUGUGAAAUCCCCGAGCUUAACUUGGGAACUGCAUUUGAAACUGGCAAGCUAGAGUCUUGUAGAGGGGGGUAGAAUUCCAGGUGUAGCGGUGAAAUGCGUA
rnacentral:rRNA from 2 species